AGCAAUCAUUUUUAAAGUCAGAUGCAAUUAGAAUACAAUGAUAUUAGAAUCACUAUUUAAAGUCCCUUAAGUGUCAUCUUGACGACAGACUAACAUAUCUCUGUACAGGUCAGCUCACCCAGACAGCUUCCUCCAGCUCUGAAACAGAUCGAUUGAGCACCAGAUGAAGUUGUCAUGGAUGGGAGAUGUGAUGUACAAGAGGCUCAUCUCUGAAUUAAGAGAAGCAUGCACAUAUGAAGCACUGCCCCUGAAUAGUUCCCAUUAAAAGCAAAACUUACUUGAGUUCUCUCCCCAAAGUCAAAUGUAAUCAGACAGGCAGACCCUCCUGAAAUUCUGAGCAGAAAUUGCUGGUACAUUUGAAUCAGAUUCUAAGAGGUGAGAAAUGCUUCUUUUUUUU